rnacentral:rRNA from 1 species
ACCUACGGGGCGCAGCAGUGGGGAAUAUUGCACAAUGGGGGAAACCCUGAUGCAGCGACGCCGCGUGAGUGAAGAAGUAUUUCGGUACGUAAAGCUCUAUCAGCAGGGAAGAAAAAAAGUCCUUUGGACUUUGGACGGUACCUGAAAAAGAAGCUCCGGCUAAAUACGUGCCAGCAGCCGCGGUAAUACGUAUGGAGCAAGCGUUAUCCGGAUUUACUGGGUGUAAAGGGAGAGUAGGUGGCAGAGCAAGUCCGAAGUGAAAACCCAAAGCUCAACUAUGGGAAUGCUUUAGAAACUGCUCAGCU